GACGAACGCUGGCGGCGUGCUUAACACAUGCAAGUCGAACGGAAAGGCCCUGCUUUUGUGGGGUGCUCGAGUGGCGAACGGGUGAGUAACACGUGAGUAACCUGCCCUUGACUUUGGGAUAACUUCAGGAAACUGGGGCUAAUACCGGAUAGGAGCUCCUGCUGCAUGGUGGGGGUUGGAAAGUUUCGGCGGUUGGGGAUGGACUCGCGGCUUAUCAGCUUGUUGGUGGGGUAGUGGCUUACCAAGGCUUUGACGGGUAGCCGGCCUGAGAGGGUGACCGGCCACAUUGGGACUGAGAUACGGCCCAGACUCCUACGGGAGGCAGCAGUGGGGAAUAUUGCACGAUGGGCGGAAGCCUGAUGCAGCAACGCCGCGUGCGGGAUGACGGCCUUCGGGUUGUAAACCGCUUUCGCCUGUGACGAAGCGUGAGUGACGGUAAUGGGUAAAGAAGCACCAGCUAACUACGUG
rnacentral:rRNA from 1 species